CGGCUGCUCUGUGUUGUUAAUUGCCUGGAACACCCAUUAGAUUCCGAUGACAUCUUACUGCAAUAUCUCUGAAAAGGAUGUUUUAUUGAUUAAAUCCAGGGAUGUGUCCAUUCCAGCAAGCAUUGGGCACAAUGCAGAAACAAUCCCUGGACGAUGCCUCGGCUCAUCGCAAGGUGAAUACAAGCACACACAUACACUAGCGUCAUUUUAGCGGUACCAAAUCUGCAUAUCUUUGGAAGGAAACUGGAGCACACUGAGGAAACCCAGCAGGAAAACAUGUAAACUCCAGGUGCCUUGAACAACAUCCAGUUACCCACUAAUCUAGGAAGAGCGUCCUCUGUGUCAAGUGCCUGUUCUGCUGUUUGUGUCUUCAUAGGCACGUGCUGCCACAAUACAGAAGGCUACAGCUUGGAGACAUGAUUUUGAUUAUGCAGCAAAUGAAGACCACAGAGAAGACUGCUGCUUCACCACCUGAGGCCACAGGUUCAACACGCCCUCGACCCUCUGCAGUUUGCAUAUCAGGAGAAGGUGGGAGCAGAGGAUGCCAUCAUCUAUAUGCUACACUGAUCCCUCUCUCACUUGGACAGAGGCAGUGGUACUGUAAGAAUUAUGUUUCUAGACUUCUCUAGCGCUUUCAACACAAUCCAACCUCUGCUCCUUAGGGACAAGCUGACAGAGAUGGGAGUAGAUUCAUACCUGGUGGCAUGGAUCGUGGACUAUCUUAAAGACAGACCUCAGUAUGUGUGUCUUGGGAACUGCACGUCUGACAUUGUGGUCAGCAACACAGGAGCGCCACAAGGGACUGUACUUUUUCCGAUCCUGUUCAGCCUAUAUACAUCGGACUUCCAACACAACUCAGAGUCCUGCCACAUGCAAAAGUUCGCUGAUGACACUGCUAUCAUGGGCUGCAUCAGGAGUGGGCAGGAGGAGGAGUAUAGGGACCUAAUCAAUGACUUUGUUAAAUGGUGCGACUCAAACCACCUACACCUGAACACCAACAAAACCAAGGAGCUGGUGGUGGAUUUUAGGAGGCCCAGACCCCUUAUGGACCCCAUGAUGGACCAUCAGAGGUGACUGUGUGCAGAUGGUGCAGACCUAUAAAUACCUGGGAGUGCAGCUGGAUGAUAAAUUAGACUGGACUGCCAAUACUGAUGCUCUUUGUAAGAAAGGACAGAGCCGGUUAUACUUCCUUAGAAGGCUGGCGUCCUUCAACAUCUGCAGUAAGAUGCUGCAGAUGUUCUAUCAGACGGUUGUGGCGAGCACCCUCUUCUACGCGGUGGUGUGCUGGGGAGGCAGCAUUAAGAAGAAAGACGCCUCACGCCUGGACAAACUGGUGAGGAAGGCAGGCUCUGUUGUUGGCAUGGAGCUAGACAGUUUGACAUCUGUGGCAGAGCGACGGGCGCUCAGCAGGCUCCUAUCAAUUAUGGAAAAUCCACUGCAUCCACUGAACAGUGUCAUCUCCAGACAGAAGAGCAGCUUCAGCGACAGACUGCUGUCACUGUCCUGCUCCACUGACAGACUGAGGAGAUCGUUCCUCCCCCAAACUAUGCGACUUUUCAGUUCCACCCGGGGGGGGUAAACGUUAACAUUAUAUAAAGUUAUUGUCUGUUGUUACCUGCAUUGUUAUCAAUCUUUAAUUUAAUAUUGUUUUUUGUAUCAGUAAGGUGCUGCUUGAGUAUGUGAAUUUCCCCUUGGGAUUAAUAAAGUAUCUAUCUAUCUAUCUA